rnacentral:tRNA from 1 species
GAAAAUAUAGCUCAGUGGUAGAUCACUUGCUUUGUAUGUAUGAAGUCCUUGGUUCAAUACCCAGUGCUAUACA